rnacentral:rRNA from 1 species
AGAAUGAACGCUGGCGGCGUGCUUAACACAUGCAAGUCGCACGGGGGCGGGGGGGGGCAACCCCUCCAGUCGAGUGGCGGACGGGUGAGUAACACGUGGGUAACCUGCCCGGAUGUGGGGAAUACCUCGGGGAAACUCGAGCUAAUACCGCAUGACAUCUUCGGGACGAAAGUCCUGACGAUCAAAGGCGGGGUCGCAAGACCUCGCGCUUCCGGAUGGGCCCGCGCCCGAUUAGCUAGUUGGCAGGUAACGCUACACCAAGGCGACGAUCGGUAGCCGGCCUGAGAGGGUAGAUCGGCCACACCGGAACUGGGACACGGUCCGACUCCUACGGAGCAGCAGUGGGAGUCUGCGCAAGUGGGCGAAAGCCUGACGCGAGGCAACGCCGCGUAGGACGGAUGGAA